rnacentral:rRNA from 1 species
UUAUGCGAUACUUGGUGUGAAUUGCAGAAUCCCGUGAACCAUCGAGUCUUUGAACGCAAGUUUUAUGCGAUAUCUGGUGUGAAUUGCAGAAUUCAGCGGAAUCAUCGAAUCUUUGAACGCACAUUGCGCCCCUUGGUAUUCCGGGGGGCAUGCCUGUUCGAGCGUCAUUACAACCCUCAAGCUCUGCUUGGAAUUGGGCACCGUCCUCACUGCGGACGCGCCUCAAAGACCUCGGCGGUGGCUGUUCAGCCCUCAAGCGUAGUAGAAUACACCUCGCUUUGGAGCGGUUGGCGUCGCCCGCCGGACGAACCUUCUGAACUUUUCUCAAGGUUGACCUCGGAUCAGGUAGGGAUUCAUCCCGCUGAACUUAAGCAUAUCAAUAAGCGGAGGAAUGGCUCGUGGGACGCAGGCUCCCGCUCAUUACUUCAUACGAGAAG